GUGGGUGGAUUAGUGGCGAACGGGUGAGUAAACACGUGAGUAACCUGCCCUUAACUCUGGGAUAAGCCUGGGAAACUGGGUCUAAUACCGGAUAUGACUCCUCAUCGCAUGGUGGGGGGUGGAAAGCUUUUUGUGGUUUUGGAUGGACUCGCGGCCUAUCAGCUUGUUGGUGAGGUAAUGGCUCACCAAGGCGACGACGGGUAGCCGGCCUGAGAGGGUGACCGGCCACACUGGGACUGAGACACGGCCCAGACUCCUACGGGAGGCAGCAGUGGGGAAUAUUGCACAAUGGGCGAAAGCCUGAUGCAGCGACGCCGCGUGAGGGAUGACGGCCUUCGGGUUGUAAACCUCUUUCAGUAGGGAAGAAGCGAAAGUGACGGUACCUGCAGAAGAAGCGCCGGCUAACUACGUGCCAGCAGCCGCGGUAAUACGUAGGGCGCAAGCGUUAUCCGGAAUUAUUGGGCGUAAAGAGCUCGUAGGCGGUUUGUCGCGUCUGCUGUGAAAGACCGGGGCUCAACUCCGGUUCUGCAGUGGGUACGGGCAGACUAGAGUGAUGUAGGGGAGACUGGAAUUCCUGGUGUAGCGGUGAAAUGCGCAGAUAUCAGGAGGAACACCGAUGGCGAAGGCAGGUCUCUGGGCAUU
rnacentral:rRNA from 1 species